rnacentral:misc_RNA from 1 species
UUCGAUCGCCGGCUCAGAUUGAACGCUGGCGGGAUACUUUACACAUGCAGAUCCGAACGGCAGCCUGGUUUCAGACCGGUGGCGAGUGGCGAAUGGUGAGAGUAAUGUAUCGGAACGUGCCUAGUGGCGGGGGAUAACUACGCGAAAGCGCGUAGCUAAUACCACAUACGCCCUUCAGGGGAAAGCGGGGGACCUUCGGGCCUCGCACUAAUGAAGCGGCCGAUAUCGGACAAAGCUAGUUGGUGGGGUAACAGCUCACCAAGGCGACGAUCCGUAGCUGGUUUGAGAGGACGACCAGCCACACUGGGACUGAGACACGGCCCAGACUCCUACCAGAGGAGCAGCAGUGAAAUUUUGGACAAUGGGGAAACCUAGUCCAACCAUCCCGCGUGUGCGAUGAAGGCCUUCGGGUUGUAAAGCACUUUUGGCAGGGAAAGAAACGGCACGGAUAAUACCCCGUGCAACUGACAGUACCUGCAGAAUAAGCACCGGCUAACUACGUGCCAGCAGCCGCGGUAAUACGUAGGAGUCAAGCGUUAAUCGGAAUUACUGGGCGUAAAGCGUGCGCAGGCGGUUCGAAGAAAGAUGUGAAAUCCCAGAGCUUAACUUUGGAACUGCAUUUUUAACUACCGAGCUAGAGUGUGUCAGAGGGAGGUGGAGUCU